rnacentral:rRNA from 1 species
GAUGAACGCUGGCGGCGUGCCUAAUACAUGCAAGUCGAGCGAACAGAUAAGGAGCUUGCUCCUUUGACGUUAGCGGCGGACGGGUGAGUAACACGUGGGUAACCUAUCUAUAAGACUGGAAUAACUCCGGGAAACCGGGGCUAAUGCCGGAUAACAUGUUGAACCGCAUGGUUCUACAGUGAAAGGCGGCUUUGCUGUCACUUAUAGAUGGACCCGCGCCGUAUUAGCUAGUGGUGAGGUAACGGCUCACCAAGGCAACGAUACGUAGCCGACCUGAGAGGGUGAUCGGCCACACUGGAACUGAGACACGGUCCAGACUCCUACGGGAGGCAGCAGUAGGGAAUCUUCCGCAAUGGGCGAAAGCCUGACGGAGCAACGCCGCGUGAGUGAUGAAGGUCUUCGGAUCGUAAAACUCUGUUAUUAGGGAAGAACAAAUGCGUAAGUAACUGUGCGCGUCUUGACGGUACCUACUCAGAAAGCAACGGCUAACUACGUG